rnacentral:tRNA from 1 species
AUUAAUCGGGAUCGCGCCGUAGCGGUCAGCGGCGAAACGCAAGCGGUAGGGAUGAUGAUCAACAACAAAAAUCUG